AAAUUGAAGAGUUUGAUCAUGGCUCAGAUUGAACGCUGGCGGCAGGCCUAACACAUGCAAGUCGAACGGUAACAGGAAGCAGCUUGCUGCUUUGCUGACGAGUGGCGGACGGGUGAGUAAUGUCUGGGAAACUGCCUGAUGGAGGGGGAUAACUACUGGAAACGGUGGCUAAUACCGCAUAACGUCGCAAGACCAAAGAGGGGGACCUUCGGGCCUCUUGCCAUCAGAUGUGCCCAGAUGGGAUUAGCUGGUUGGUGAGGUAACGGCUCACCAAGGCGACGAUCCCUAGCUGGUCUGAGAGGAUGACCAGCCACACUGGAACUGAGACACGGUCCAGACUCCUACGGGAGGCAGCAGUGGGGAAUAUUGCACAAUGGGCGCAAGCCUGAUGCAGCCAUGCCGCGUGUAUGAAGAAGGCCUUCGGGUUGUAAAGUACUUUCAGCGGGGAGGAAGGUGUUGUGGUUAAUAACCGCAGCAAUUGACGUUACCCGCAGAAGAAGCACCGGCUAACUCCGUGCCAGCAGCCGCGGUAAUACGGAGGGUGCAAGCGUUAAUCGGAAUUACUGGGCGUAAAGCGCACGCAGGCGGUCUGUCAAGUCGGAUGUGAAAUCCCCGGGCUCAACCU
rnacentral:rRNA from 2 species